UACAGAGGGUGCAAGCGUUGUUCGGAAUUAUUGGGCGUAAAGGGCGCGUAGGCGGUGCUGUAAGUCUGUAGUGAAAUCUCUGGGCUCAACUCAGAGUCUGCUAUAGAAACUGCAGUGCUGGAGUGUGGGAGAGGUGAGUGGAAUUCCCGGUGUAGCGGUGAAAUGCGUAGAUAUCGGGAGAAACACCUGUGGCGAAAGCGGCUCACUGGACCACAACUGACGCUGAGGCGCGAAAGCUAGGGGAGCGAAUGGG
rnacentral:rRNA from 1 species